rnacentral:lncRNA from 1 species
AUUUGGGCAAAGCAUCGCUAAUCACCCGCCGCCACGUCAGUGCCGUUAGCAAACUACCAGGGAAAGACUCUCCCCAGGGGCCGGGUCUGCCCGUGGAGAACUGAGCUAGGAAGUCGCAGGGAGAAUCAGAGCAACAGUCUGUCUGUCUGCAACCGCUCUGUGGGUUUCCUCCGAGCACUUCUGUGGGGUAAAGGCAUGUGGGGGCAGCUAGAUUUAUUUUAAAUGGUUUCAGUUACACCUCCUUUUGGUGGGUGAGGCACAUGGGUUACCUGCUGGAAAUGGACUCGACUGCGGGAAAAGAGACAGGCAGGAAGGGGCUUCGAGGCCUCUUCUAGUUCCUUCCAUCGUGGUAGCAGGCAGGCUCCUCGCCUGGACCCUGGAGCCCUUGUGAUGGAACCCGUUCUGAAUUGCCCAGGGCCCGGGCCUGGGAUGGAGGCAAGGAGGCAGAGCUUUGACCUUGGACAUCUCUACCCUGUUCAAAAAAAGGAAGCAUUCACCGGCAUAGACGCAAUGCCUGGUUUCCCGCUGCCUCCUUGCCAGGCUGAAGGGUUUGUAACCGGCCUUGUCACAAAAGGAGGCCUCAAGCUUGAGAGACCUCCUUCGAGUCACGCAUAACCCAGGGCACAACUUGCAUUGACAUCUCCUGCCACUGAACCAGAGCAGGCAUUUGAUUAUUAAGGGAACAACAACAAAAUACCCCCAACACGUUAUGUGAUUAUAAAGACAGAGCAUAAAUAAUUCAUGUAAAUGGAAUACAUACCUUUCAUCUUACUUGUUUUUAGCCAAAAAUCACUGCCCUGUUAGGGUCUGGAUUUUUUUGCUCUUCAUUUCCCCCACAGUCCCGGAUCUGACUGGAAUUAUAUUAUUUUACCCAACACUACGUAAGAACAGGAAUGCAAAAAAUCCGCCCCCCCUACACACACACCUUGUCCCUUCCCCAGGGCUUCAAGCUCAGUGGUAAGGCAAUUUUGCCUUCAGUAUAACAGGUAAGAUCUUUAGGAGGGAAUCUAUAACCUGGGGAAGGGAGAGGCGACAGAGGUGGGGAAGUGGCGGGUGUCACAGUUUGACCGACACGUUUGUUUCUAAGACAGUGAAGGAACGCUCAUCAGGAAAUGCAUACAAACCUGCCAGGCUGAAAUCAGGUGGGAGAGGGAAAGGGUCACACACCCCAAUCCAGAUAUGCCACCCAACCCCUCCCAAAUCAAAGACGGGGUUCAGCUCCACCGGCGUGUCCGCGAUGGGGCUGAGAACCGCAUCGCAGACCAAACGAGAAAAGGAAAGGCAAGAACAUAAACCCAAACCCAAACCCCUCAACCCCCGAGCAAAAACAAACAACAAACCACCUAGAGGUGAUGACAGAGACCCGUCAUUCUAGCUUAGGCUGUUGGUUGGCUGUUGGGUGGGAACGUGUGUGGCCCCAGCACGAGCUUCCGUGAGGGAAAAGGAUGGCCACGGAGGCUGCAGCUGCCAGAUCUCGUAGACGAGGGUCUGUUUCCAACAUCAUUCCUUUGUGAAAGCUCCCAGUGGC